rnacentral:rRNA from 1 species
GAUGAACGCUGGCGGCGUGCCUAAUACAUGCAAGUCGAGCGAACGGACGAGGAGCUUGCUUUUCUGAUGUUAGCGGCGGACGGGUGAGUAACACGUGGAUAACCUACCUAUAAGACUGGGAUAACUUCGGGAAACCGGAGCUAAUAGCGGAUAAUAUUUUGAACCGCAGGGUUCAAAAGUGAAAGACGGUCUUGCUGUCACUUCUAGAUGGAUCCGGGCUGCAUUAGGUAGUUGGUAAGGUAACGGCUUACCAAGGCAAGCAUGCAUAGCCGACCUGAGAGGGUGAUCGGCCACACUGGAGCUGAGCCGCGGCCCCGACUCCUACGGAAGGCAGCAGUAGGGAAUCUUCCGCAAUGGGCGAAAGCCUGACGGAGCAACGCCGCGUGAGUGAUGAAGGGCUUCGGGUCGUAAAACUCUGUUAUUGGGGAAGAACAUAUGUGUAAGUAACUGUGCACAUCUGGACGGUACCUAUUCAGAAAGCCACGGCUAACUACUU